rnacentral:rRNA from 1 species
UUGAAAGGGAAACGAUUGAAGUCAGUCAUGCUGGUGGGAAUCAACUUAGGGGAAACUCUGGGUGCACUUCUUCGCUUGGCAGGUCAACGUCGAUUUUGAAUGUCAUAAAAUAAUUGGGGAAGGUAGCUCCUUCGGGAGUGUUAUAGCCCUUGAUAGAUGUGAUGUUUGAGGUCGAGGAUUGCAACGGAUACCCUUUGGGGCUAGCUGCCUGAUCUCUAAUUGGUGUUGGGUUACGGAUAGCAUGCUGACUGUGAUCUAAUUACUGGUUAAAAGGUUAGAGUAUGCAUAAAUUCGUUAAGGAUGUUGACGUA